GACGAACGCUGGCGGCGUGCCUAAUACAUGCAAGUAGAACGCUGAAGCUUGGUGCUUGCACCGAGCGGAUGAGUUGCGAACGGGUGAGUAACGCGUAGGUAACCUGCCUGGUAGCGGGGGAUAACUAUUGGAAACGAUAGCUAAUACCGCAUAAGAGUAGAUGUUGCAUGACAUUUGCUUAAAAGGUGCAAUUGCAUCACUACCAGAUGGACCUGCGUUGUAUUAGCUAGUUGGUGAGGUAACGGCUCACCAAGGCAACGAUACAUAGCCGACCUGAGAGGGUGAUCGGCCACACUGGGACUGAGACACGGCCCAGACUCCUACGGGAGGCAGCAGUAGGGAAUCUUCGGCAAUGGACGGAAGUCUGACCGAGCAACGCCGCGUGAGUGAAGAAGGUUUUCGGAUCGUAAAGCUCUGUUGUAAGAGAAGAACGAGUGUGAGAGUGGAAAGUUCACACUGUGACGGUAUCUUACCAGAAAGGGACGGCUAACUACGUG
rnacentral:rRNA from 1 species